rnacentral:snRNA from 1 species
CUGUGGCAGCACAUAUACGAAAAAGUUGGAAAAAUGCAGAGAAGGUGAACAUGAGCCCUGUGCAAGAAUGACACGUAGAUUUAUGUUCCACAUAUUG